UAGACAGAUUUUUGUAUUCGACUGUAUUCCCGACGUAAAAUAGGGGAUUACAGCUAUUUUUAAACAGAAAGUGAAUCAAUUAACAUAAUAGACUCCU
rnacentral:pre_miRNA from 1 species